GGGGGGCUUAUGUAGUGUAUGGGGGUGGUCGGUUGGCUUGUAUAGGGAAAAGGGGGUGGUUGGUCAAGAGAAAGCAAGGUGAGUUGGCAAUAGGUAUAAUAGGAAUCGAUCGGAAAGGCUUGGGAGUCGAUCGGCAUGGUUGGUUUGCCUGUCGGGUGAACAAAGAGGAAGUGCGAGGGUAAAAUAAAGGAAUGUCCGAUUGGUGAGGCGAAUUCUGUGGGCACCUCAACGGUUACAACUUAGGGGCGAAUCUUGUGGGAUUGUUCAUCAGCGAUUAUAGGUACUUAAUGCCCAUUACUUGAGUUUGAUGCCUAUAAAUAUAGAAAUGUUAGCCAGAUAUUUAUUGAGCAUCGGAGUACUAACGUGCAGGUCACAAUCGAUCGGUACAAGAGGUGAUAGGAUCUUGGGAGAGGAACGGUGAAGACAAUGACAAAGACAGUUGGGACUAAGUUCGGUUUUGGGCCUUACAUCCGAAACGAAACAAGUAUGACUUUUGAGUUUUUCAGGUUAUUUCGUUAAGAAGAAGCCUAAUCUAGUAUGUCUUGUGCGGAUGAGUUUUUAUUUGAACUUCUUCUCUAAUGAAGGUGUAGAUACAUCUGAUUUGUUUGGGUCACGAGUUCGCGCUGCUGUAGCGAAGAUGAUCCCGAUGUGGUUCAUGAUUUGCUAUUUGUGGCGGAGAUUCGGUGGUUGGGAUUUUCGGCAAAAGUGUUAUAAAAUGAGAAAUAAUACAUUGAUAGGGUUAAAGUAUUUGACAUUCAUUUGACACACAAAUGGGUCCACUUUCACUCAAUGUCAAGAAGGCUAAUUUUGUCAGUUAGGCAGUGAGUGCGUUUUUAUUCCGCUGUCAAUUUUGUCAAUCAGGAUUUACAUUCCUCAUUGUUUUCAUUUCACUUUUGCAAAGGUGGAAAAUUGUUCGUGGUAGGGCAAGGGUGGGUUCAUAGAGAACCCAAUCGGAAGGUGCACGUGAUCGGACGGUGGUAGGUACUUCUUUAUCCUUUCUUGUUUUCUCUUCAUUUAUGUAUGUUUCGUUUUGUUUUUCUUCAUUUUCAAAAACCCUAGACUGAAGGGAGCAAGGUUUGAUAAACAUGAGGUUGAGCAGUUGUCGCUAGGGUGAGUUGAUAGAGAACUACUAGGAGAUUUAGGUCUGUCUGUUAGUAUUUAAAGGUUGUGAAAGGAGUAGUUGAUGAGGCAGAGAAAAUAUGGAGAUAGUAGAAUGUAGAAGUGGUAGUUGGAAGAAGUGUUGUAGUUGUCUUAGUUUUUGUAGAUGUUGGCUUCUUAUUUGGCUUUCUUACAAAUGAUCCAAUCACCCCUAUUUAUACUAGUGGCACCUCCUUAACCAAUGGUUAGGAUCUUGCCACCACAAC
rnacentral:lncRNA from 1 species